AUAUCACUAAGCGGAGGAAAAGAAAUUAACUAAGAUUGCCUCAGUAACGGCGAGUGAAGCGGCAAAAGCCCAAACUGGAAAUCUUCACGCUCCGCGUGACGAAUUGUAAUCUUGGUCUCAGCCUCACCUGCAGGGGACGCAGAAGUGCCUUAGAACGGGCCGCCAAAGAGGGUGACAGCCCCGUAUGUGGUGCCCCCUGCUAACGAGGAUGGGUCUGGCGAGUCGGGUUGUUUGGAAUUGCAGCCCUAACAUGGGAGAUAGACUUCUUCCAAGGCUAAAUAUUUAUGGGAGACCGAUAGCGCACAAGUA
rnacentral:rRNA from 1 species